rnacentral:rRNA from 1 species
UCAAGUAAUUAAGAGCACACGGUGGAUGCCUUGGCACCAGUGGCCGAAGAAGGACGUGGCAAGCUGCGAAAAGCUCCGGUUAGCUGCAAGCGAGCGUUAGACCCGGAGAUUUCCGAAUGGGGCAACCUGCCGCAGGUAAUGCUGCGGCAUCCCUGCCUGAAUCCAUAGGGCAGGAGAAGGGCACCGGGGGAACUGAAACAUCUAAGUACCCCGAGGAAGAGAAAGAAACCUCGAUUCCCCCAGUAGCGGCGAGCGAAGAGGGAAGAGCCUAAACCAUUUAAGUGGAGAAGCCUGCAAGCGUUGCUUAAAUGGGGUUGUAGGGGUCAGAAUAGAGGCAGGUUGCAGACUGCCUCCAGGCCAAGUUCAGCUAGCAGAAGCGCUCUGGAAAGAGCCACCGCAGAGGGUGAAAGUCCCGUAUGCGAAAGCUGGGCGCAACCUGUUCUGACUACCUGAGUACCGCGGGACACGUGGAAUCCUGUGGGAAUCUGGGAGGCCCACCUCCCAAGGCUAAAUACCAUCUGGUGACCGAUAGUGAACUAGUACCGUGAGGGAAAGGUGAAAAGCACCCCGGGAGGGGAGUGAAAUAGAACCUGAAACCGUGUGUUUACAAUCAGUCGGAGUGCUAUGAAUCAAGCACGACGGCGUACUUUUUGUAGAACGGACCGGCGAGAGGCGGUAUGCAGCGAGGUUAAGCGAAAGCGGAGCCGCAGCGAAAGCGAGUCUGAAUAGGGCAUAAGUUGCAUGUCGCAGACCCGAAACCAGGUGAUCUAUCCAUGGCCAGGGUGAAGCGGAUGUAAAAAUUCGUGGAGGCCCGAACCUCAACGACGUUGAAAAGUCGUGGGAUGAGCUGUGGAUAGGGGUGAAAUGCCAAUCGAACCUGGAGAUAGCUGGUUCUCCCCGAAAUAGCUUUAGGGCUAGCCUCAAAGUAAGAAUCAUGGAGGUAGAGCACUGAUUGGGCUAGGGGCCCUACCAGGUUACCGAACCCAUUCAAACUCCGAAUUCCAUGAUUUGUUCUUUGGGAGUCAGACUAUGUGGGAUAAGCUUCAUAGUCGAGAGGAAAACAGUCCAGACCAACAGCUAAGGUCCCAAAGCACGAACUAAGUGGGAAAGGAUGUAGGACUGCCCAGACAACCAGGAUGUUGGCUUAGAAGCAGCCAUUCAUUCAAAGAGUGCGUAAUAGCUCACUGGUCGAGUGGUCCUGCGCCGAAAAUGUAACGGGGCUCAAGUUCGUCACCGAAGCUUUGGAAUCCGUAAGGAUUGGUAGGGGAGCGUUCUGCAGGCGCAGAAGCCAUACCGAAAGGAGUGGUGGAGUCUGCAGAAGUGAGAAUGCCGGUAUGAGUAGCGAGAAGGCAGGUGAGAAUCCUGCCCGCCGAAAGCCUAAGGUUUCCUGAGGAAGGCUCGUCCGCUCAGGGUAAGUCGGGACCUAAGCCGAGGCCGAUUGGCGUAGGCGAUGGACAACAGGUUGAGAUUCCUGUACCACCUAUACACCGUUAUGAGCGAAGGGGGGACGCAGGAGGGUAAGCUAGCCUGCUGAUGGAAUAGCAGGUCCAAGCCAGUAGGAUGGACAUCCAGGCAAAUCCGGAAGUCCGCGUAUCCGAGAGGUGAUGGGGAGCGGGUAAAUCCUGCGGAAGUAGCUGAUCCCAUACUGCCGAGAAAAGCCUCUAGCCAGGUGUAGGGUGCCCGUACCGCAAACCGACACAGGUAGGCGAGAAGAGAAUUCUAAGGCGCGCGAGAGAACCCUUGUUAAGGAACUCGGCAAAUUGACCCUGUAACUUUGGGAGAAAGGGUGCCCUGUUAUCGUGAAGGAGCUAGCCUCUGAAGCGAGAGAGGGUUGCAGUGAAACGGCCCAAGCGACUGUUUAGCAAAAACACAGGUCUCUGCUAAGUCGAAAGACGAAGUAUAGGGGCUGACGCCUGCCCGGUGCUGGAAGGUUAAGGGGAAAGGUUAGCGCAAGCGAAGCUUUGAACCGAAGCCCCAGUGAACGGCGGCCGUAACUAUAACGGUCCUAAGGUAGCGAAAUUCCUUGUCGGGUAAGUUCCG